rnacentral:rRNA from 1 species
UACGGGGGGGGCAAGCGUUGUUCGGAAUUACUGGCGUAAAGGGCUCGUAGGCGGCCAACUAAGUCAGACGUGAAAUCCCUCGGCUUAACCGGGGAACUGCAUCUGAUACUGGAUGGCUUGAGUUCGGGAGAGGGAUGCGGAAUUCCAGGUGUAGCGGUGAAAUGCGUAGAUAUCUGGAGGAACACCGGUGGCGAAGGCGGCAUCCUGGACCGGCAUUGACGCUGAGGCGCGAAAGCCAGGGGAGCAAAGCGGG